GAUGAAGAACGUAGCGAAACGCGAUAGGUAAUGUGAAUUGCAGAAUUCCGUGAAUCAUCGAAUCUUUGAACGCAUAUUGCGCCUUCUGGUAUUCCGGUAGGCAUGUCUGUUUGAGCGUCAGCAGAAACCCCCCUUCGGUAUGGGUGUUUAUAUACCCUUGCCGGUGUUGGGUCAAGAAGGCUGAUAGGUGACGGUUACGUCCUUACCUGCCCCUGCCCUAAACUUGCUGUACAACCGUCAGCCCCUUCUGGCCUGGUUCAAUGGCGUGGUAUUGAUAGUCUUCCAAUGAACCUGCCGGAAGCUCUUGCGGUUUUAAACCUUAGAUUUUUCCCUUUAUGGUGAAGGCUCUAGAAGUUUUGACCUCAAAUCAGACAAGGAUACCCGCUGAACUUAAGCAUAUCAAUAAGCGGAGGA
rnacentral:misc_RNA from 1 species